UUCUUCUAAACGUUGAACCUUUAAGAAAAGAAAGAAGAACAAGAAGAACAAGAAAAGGGUGCAAAGUACUGGGGCACCCAAGCCCAGUCAGACCAAAAAAUCCAAAUCUGACCAGAGUCAAGCAGAAUGCUUUUACUGUAAGAAGCAGGGGCACUGAAAAAUGAAUUGUCCUCAAUACAUUGUCUCCUUAGAUCCGAAUAGGUCGAGAAAGAAGUAAGUUGUUGCUGGAUAAAGUAAUUAUAUGAUAACACCUUGUAAUUUCUCAAUUUGUAAUUCUAUUACCUGGAUAU
rnacentral:lncRNA from 1 species